rnacentral:telomerase_RNA from 1 species
GAUGAAUGUAGGUAACUGCUGCGUUAUUUGUAUUAACAGUAACAUAAAUUAAUACAAAUUAAAUAUAACAAAAACUAACAAAAAAUUUUCAUAGGUGUUGCUUAUCCGUAGAUUCACCUCUAAAACAAAAAUGCAACGGAUUACUCGUAGCUAAUUUUUU